ACCUGGCUAGCUCAGUUGGUAGAGCAUGUGACUCUUGAUUGCAAGGUUGUGAGUUCAAGCCCCCCAGCGGGUG
rnacentral:tRNA from 1 species